GAUGAACGCUGGCGGCGUGCCUAACACAUGCAAGUCGAACGAAUUACUUUAAAGGAAGUUUUCGGAUGGAAUUUAAAGUAGUUAGUGGCGGACGGGUGAGUAACGCGUGGGAAACCUGCCCUAUACAGGGGGAUAGCCUCGGGAAACUGGGAUUAAUACCCCAUAAAACUCUAGUAUCGCAUGAUACAUGAGCCAAAGAUUUAUCGGUAUAGGAUGGUCCCGCGUCUGAUUAGCUAGUUGGUGAGGUAACGGCUCACCAAGGCGACGAUCAGUAGCCGGCCUGAGAGGGUGAACGGCCACACUGGAACUGAGACACGGUCCAGACUCCUACGGGAGGCAGCAGUGGGGAAUAUUGCACAAUGGGGGAAACCCUGAUGCAGCGACGCCGCGUGAGCGAAGAAGGCCUUCGGGUCGUAAAGCUCUGUCCUAAGGGAAGAAACGGACGGUACCUCCGGAGGAAGCCACGGCUAACUACGUG
rnacentral:rRNA from 1 species